GCCGCGUUCGUCGAACCCCUUGAGCAGGACCAUGCGCACAUUGGGCAUGCCAUCCGGGUCGACGGUCGCAAGGGCGACGGCGUUCGGAUCGUUCA
rnacentral:sRNA from 1 species